CUGCCUUAAACUAAUGAGUAAGGAAAACAAAGCGGGCAGUGAGAACUGACCGCAGCGUCUAACCAAAAAUAUGGUGCGCAAUUAAUUUUUGGAAGGGGAAUAGGCUAGCCGAGUUGAGACGCUGCUUACUUUUGCAGAACUCACUUGUGCAGGCCUCCCAU